rfam:Vibrio nigripulchritudo str. SFn1 chromosome, complete genome.
UGAAGAUGAACAGGAGAGAGACAUACCCUAGUGUAUGUCCGCCGAAGAAUUAAUUAUUUCAGGCAAAGUGGACUGUCGUUGGAGG